rnacentral:lncRNA from 1 species
GGAGAAUUAAUUUCAUCUAUCUCUUAAAAAUUGACAUCAGUUAUCUACGUUUGGUGUAAAAUGAUCAGGGGAACAAACUGCCAUUCAGGGAAACCUGCUCUAGAAGAGUAAUCAUCUAAUUACAGAAAGAGCCCCCAAAUCAGCCAGAAAGAAAUCAGCUGGAUGUAAAAGCUAAGAGAUGGAUCCAGGCCAAAGAGUUUGAUGUUUUGAAUGCAUCCACUAACAAGCUUUACUUGGCUAACAGAAAAAUCUGCCUCUCUCCUAAGGACAGCAGCUGGCAGAUUGUGUGAUACGUCACGCUGGAAUGCAGCUCCUGCACAUUUAAUAAGCAACCUGAAAUUACAAAGGAUAUGUUGAGUCUUACGAGUGGUGGAAAGUCAGGUAGGAAGGAGAUGAUUUUUCAUGCAGGGUAAGGAAUAUUGAUGGUGGACCAAAGAGACUACUUAUGCUAAAAAAUGGAGCAUGGAAUUGAAAGCCAUUGAAAGAGAGUGACUCCUUCUAGAAGAGGAAAGAUGCAGACCAAAGAGAAACUUAGUCAAAAACUGACUGAAGCUAUCACAAAAGUUUCUACAGCCUUCAAAUGUGUUUGAGACAACUCCUAAUGGCAUUCCGAAUGAGAUUUUUUUUCCUCAGCUAUGCAAAAGUUUGAAGCAAAAUGAAAUUAAGCAAGUUUAAAAAAAGAGAGAUCUCA